rnacentral:rRNA from 1 species
UAUGAAGGGGGCUAGCGUUGCUCGGAAUUACUGGGCGUAAAGCGCACGUAGGCGGUCUUUUAAGUCGGGGGUGAAAUCCUGGAGCUCAACUCCAGAACUGCCUUCGAUACUGGAAGACUUGAGUCCGGGAGAGGUGAGUGGAACUGCGAGUGUAGAGGUGAAAUUCGUAGAUAUUCGCAAGAACACCAGUGGCGAAGGCGGCUCACUGGCCCGGUACUGACGCUGAGGUGCGAAAGCGUGGGGAGCAAACAGG